rnacentral:tRNA from 1 species
GCCUGGCUGGCUCAGUCAGUAGAGCAUGCGACUCUUGAUCUCAGGGUCAUGAGUGGGAGCCCCAUGCUGGGUG